AGGUGGGAGACUGUGAAGCCGGCACGCCAGUGUCGGUGGAGUCAUCGUUGAAAUACCACUCUGGUCGCUCUGGAUGUCUAACCUCGGUCCGUGAUCCGGAUCAGGGACAGUGCCUGGUGGGUAGUUUAACUGGGGCGGUUGCCUCCCAAAAUGUAACGGAGGCGCCCAAAGGUUCCCUCAGCCUGGUUGGCAAUCAGGUGGUGAGUGUAAGUGCACAAGGGAGCUUGACUGUGAGACUGACAGGUCGAGCAGGGACGAAAGUCGGGACUAGUGAUCCGGCACCUACUUGUGGAUGUGGUGUCGCUCAACGGAUAAAAGGUACCCCGGGGAUAACAGGCUGAUCUUCCCCAAGAGUCCAUAUCGACGGGAUGGUUUGGCACCUCGAUGUCGGCUCAUCACAUCCUGGGGCUGAAGCCGGUCCCAAGGGUAUGGCUGUUCGCCAUUUAAAGUGGUACGCGAGCUGGGUUUAGAACGUCGUGAGACAGUUCGGUCCCUAUCUGCCGUGGGCGUUGGAAAUUUGAAGGGGGCUGCUCCUAGUACGAGAGGACCGGAGUGGACG
rnacentral:rRNA from 13 species